CCUACUUAAGAGGUGUAUAAUGAUCAAUGGGCCUGCUGUAUACAAGAAAAACCUAAACAGACCCUUUAAACCACAAAAUUAAUCCCAAACGGGAAACCUCUCCUUUUUAUCGAUUAGGCUCUAGAUUUCAUUCACAUAUUUAUGAAUAAUGCCAUGCUAUUAUAAUAUUACAACCACAACAUCCUCUGUGAUUUUGAUGCAAUAGGCCAGAACAAUCAAUAACCAUAAUAAUAUAUUAUGCUUACCAAAUGUCACCAUAUCUUAAAAGAAAACAUGAUAGUUGCAAUAAUUAGAAGAGAUACAUAGGCAGAUUAAAUAUAAGACACAAUACCAAGCUUCGAAUGAAACUGAAUCAAGCACAAGUAAAAUCAAACCUUAAUAUACAAAUAUAAUGCUAAACCACAAAAAAAGCCCUAAACAUACAGCAUCAUUAAAACAAAUUAACGCUACAGUCAAGUGAAUUGAGACAGUGAAAUGAAGAGUGACACAACUACCUCCAAAACCCAGAUCGUAUGAAGAAGGCGAAGGGGUUGUUGUGAGAUUUUGCAAGCUCCAAGGCGUGUUGUUGUGGAUAGUCAAACUGGAUGAAACUCAAACGGGAUAACCGAACAAAACCAAGGUCACUUGCAUCUACGUAGUGCUAGAUUAAACAGAGUUACCGAUCUAGACUCGAGUGUUUGCCAUGGGUUGUUUGUUGUUGAGUGGCUUGUUUCCGGGGGAAGUAGCAACCGCGCCGGCGUUUAAAGAAUCAGUGGAGAUUGAAACGGUGUUGGAAGGUGUAGAUGCGCGGUGGUGAUGGUUGUUGCUUGGAAAUCGCGAAGAUUGAUGGCGAUCUGAGAUGUUGAUGACGGUGGAAGGAGGUGAAGUGUUGGUUGAAGGUGAUGAUGAAGAAGACGAUGACGGCGGCGAGUGGGUUUUUGAUUUGUGGGUUGAGGUGGUGUUUGUGCGGUGGCAAAAUGGUGGUGGAUGAAGGGGUUUAUGGUGAGAGGUGGAGAGGAAGAGAGAUAUGAGUGGUAGCUUGAAGAAGAAAAAGGAGAUGGUGAUGGUUCUGUGUGUGGGAAGUAGAUCGGAGGGUUUGGACAGACGGGGUACGGUUGAAGUCGGAUUUCGGCAGGGUAACGGUAUAUUUCUUCUUCCUCCUUUUUCAAUCGACUAGAUCCUGCUUUUAUAGAGUGAAAUGAGGUCUUCAAAUCAUGAGCUGGAAAAUCUUGGAUAGGAUCAAUCCGUUAGAGGGAAUUUUUCUUCAGAUUUGGUGGGGACCAAAGGAAUAUCAUUUCGAGUCGAUAUGCUAUCACUUUGAGCUGAUACGCAGAUGCUGACUUUGUCGCUACCUCAGGGCAUUGAUAGGGGUUGGUUGAUUCCUGCAGGUCUGCGGGAACCACUUGAUAUUCUACAUAUCCAAGACACGGCAAUGUGACCUUCGCGGCUCAGUUACAUGUAGGCUCGGUUUGGCGGCAAGCUUCCAAGAGGAUUGGCAAUGUUGCUGGUAUCACAACCAUACAGCUUAAACCAUGUAUCUCGUGGUGUUGUAUGAUAAUGGCACAAGCGAGUUCACUCCAUGUUGAUGGUUUGGUAACCGGUUUUCUUUUCAUGGUUCAGCAUCUGUCACGGUUCUGUUUGCAUGAUUCCUAUGGCAUCCAUUAUGCCAUUUUUGUUUUGGAAUAUCAUUUGUUCUGGUUUUGGUAUAACAGAGAUUACUUCUUUCACCUAUGCACAGAUCUUCAUGGUUUCAUGGGUGUUUUGUAGGUUAUGCUCAUUAAGCGGUUUAUGUUGGUGGUCUGUCAUCUAUAUGCGCUGCAGGAAAUGCUUUGGAUUUUUGUUUGGGAUGCUUUGCCGGUGUGUGAACUGUUUCGUGAGCUGUUUGUAUGGCAGGGUGCUGUUAUGCCGACAUAAGUUGGCGGCUAACUUCAAGUUUUACUUCACUAUUUUGCUUCUGUUUCGAUAGGAGCAGCUGUUGGUUUUGAAGGAGUGCAUCAUCUACCUUCUCCGCAGGAGGUUUCGGCAUUUGGGAUACCAAGCUUGGACUGAUAGCAUGUUUGGAUCGUGUAUAAGUUCCCUAAUUGUAUGUGUUUCUGAGUCCGUUUGAAUCAAUUGGAGAAAUUAUGAGCGCAUUUAUUUGUAUGUAAGCAUGCCUUGGCUGGCUUUGUAUGCAUUUCGUUAACAAAUGACUUGUCUUUGAAGAAAUCAGAGCAGGAUCAAGUAGUCAUGGGAUUAGGUUGAGUAUUAUGGUGGUCAAUGUAAGCUUGUUGACUUGGUUUGAUUAGUUGUCCGGAAGUCAGUUAUUCGUAAUGAUAGUGAGACUUGUAAUUCUUUGAAUAUGUGGGUUUUGAAUGAUUGGUGUGUAAAUUUUUGACAUUUAGUAAUUGUUUAAGAAUGAAUGGAUUCAACUGA